GAGAUCAUGACCUGAGCUGAAGUCAGAUGCUUAACUGACUGAGCCACCCAGGUGCCCCUUGGCCUGAGUAUUUAAAAGGGUCUCUACAAAUUUUGCCACUUGAGCCUUAAUGAUGCCAUUAGUGUGUAUUUGACUAGCUGAGGAUUGAGGAUGGUAAGCACAAUGCAAGUGUUGUAGAAUGGCUAAUAAGCACAGGUCUUUAAAACCCUUGACCAGGGAACGAAGUUCCCUGGUCAUUAUGAAGUUCAAGGGGAUUUCCCAGGUAGAGACAGUCUUUUCUAAUGGUAUUUUAGCCACAGAAAAGGCAGUAGCCUGCCUAAUAAGGGAAAGCUUCAGUCCAAUGAGAAAACAUACAAACCAUGACUAAAACAUAUUUCUAUCUAUGAAACUGGGGGUAGGGGAGAGGUUGAUUGAAAUCCAUUUGCCAGACUUUGAAUUGUCCAUUGGGCAAUUUAAAGUAUCCAGGAACAGUACAGGUCACUUUCCUUGGGUUGUAUUUGGAGCAAGUGGAGCAGGCAAAGUAGGUACUUUUUGCAUCUGUAUUGAUAGUUCCCUACCAGUACUGGUUCAUAAAAGUUAUUUCAUCAGAAGAGCUAUAUUUGAAAGCAUAUACAGUAUGCAAAUUUUAAGGCCUCUGGUAUGACUGGGUUUGUACUGUUUGGCCAAACCACAGUUCUUUUAUUGAACUGACAGUUAUUAGAUAUCUGAUUUUAGUUUUCCUUUUCUGGGGUCAAUUGUUGAGCAUUGCUAGUUAAUUUUUCUAUAUUAUCAUUUGGGAGAAACAUUAUAGAGGUUUCCCAGUGCAUAUAAAAUUUAUGUUUACACUAUACUGUAGGCAGUUAAGUGUGUAAUAGCAUUAUGUCUGCAAAACAAUGUACUUACCUU